UAGGGAAUCUUCGGCAAUGGACGGAAGUCUGACCGAGCAACGCCGCGUGAGUGAAGAAGGUUUUCGGAUCGUAAAGCUCUGUUGUAAGAGAAGAACGAGUGUGAGAGUGGAAAGUUCACGCUGUGACGGUAUCUUACCAGAAAGGGACGGCUAACUAUGUGCCAGCAGCCGCGGUAAUACGUAGGUCCCGAGCGUUGUCCGGAUUUAUUGGGCGUAAAGCGAGCGCAGGCGGUUAGAUAAGUCUGAAGUUAAAGGCUGUGGCUUAACCAUAGUACGCUUUGGAAACUGUUUAACUUGAGUGCAAGAGGGGAGAGUGGAAUUCCAUGUGUAGCGGUGAAAUGCGUAGAUAUAUGGAGGAACACCGGUGGCGAAAGCGGCUCUCUGGCUUGUAACUGACGCUGAGGCUCGAAAGCGUGGGGAGCAAACAGGAUUAGAUACCCUGGUAGUCCACGCCGUAAACGAUGAGUGCUAGGUGUUAGACCCUUUCCGGGGUUUAGUGCCGCAGCUAACGCAUUAAGCACUCCGCCUGGGGAGUACGACCGCAAGGUUG
rnacentral:rRNA from 1 species